CGCGGGCUCCGGCGCGUGCGCGGCGCCGCCACAUCCGGGCACUGGGGCAGGAUGAGCGCUCCUUUCCAAGAUGGCGGCGGAGGGAGGAGGGAAGGAGAUGAACGAGAUUAAGACCCAGUUCACCACCCGGGAGGGGCUGUACAAGCUGCUGAGCCACUCGGAGUACAGCCGGCCCAACCGGGUGCCCUUCAAUUCGCAGGGCUCCAACCCGGUCCGCGUCUCCUUCGUCAACGUCAACGACCAAAGCGGCAACGGCGACCGGCUCUGCUUCAAUGUGGGCCGCGAGCUCUACUUCUACAUCUACAAGGGGGUCCGCAAGGCUGCGGACUUGAGUAAACCAAUAGACAAAAGGAUAUACAAAGGAACACAACCUACAUGCCAUGACUUCAACCACUUAACAGCCACAGCAGAAAGUGUCUCUCUUCUAGUGGGCUUCUCUGCAGGCCAGGUCCAACUUAUAGACCCUAUUAAAAAAGAAACUAGCAAAUUAUUUAAUGAGGAAAGACUAAUAGACAAGUCCAGAGUAACCUGUGUAAAAUGGGUACCAGGUUCGGAAAGCCUUUUCCUAGUAGCUCAUUCCAGUGGCAAUAUGUACUUGUAUAACGUGGAGCACACUUGUGGUACCACAGCCCCGCACUACCAGCUACUUAAACAAGGAGAAAGUUUUGCAGUUCACACUUGCAAGAGUAAAUCCACGAGAAACCCUCUGCUUAAAUGGACAGUAGGUGAGGGUGCCCUGAACGAAUUUGCCUUUUCCCCCGAUGGGAAGUUCUUGGCAUGUGUGAGCCAGGAUGGUUUUCUUCGUGUGUUUAACUUUGAUUCAGUGGAAUUGCAUGGUACAAUGAAAAGCUACUUUGGAGGACUGCUGUGUGUGUGUUGGAGUCCUGAUGGGAAGUACAUAGUGACAGGUGGAGAGGAUGACUUGGUAACAGUUUGGUCUUUCGUGGACUGUCGAGUAAUAGCGAGAGGCCACGGACAUAAAUCGUGGGUCAGUGUUGUUGCGUUUGAUCCAUAUACCACUAGUGUAGAAGAGAGUGACCCGAUGGAAUUUAGCGGAAGUGAUGAGGAUUUCCAAGACCUUCAUUUUGGCAGAGAUCGAGCAAAUAGUACGCAAUCUAGGCUAUCCAAAAGGAACUCUACAGACAGUCGUCCAGUGAGUGUUACGUAUAGAUUUGGUUCAGUAGGCCAGGACACGCAGCUGUGUUUGUGGGAUCUUACAGAAGAUAUCCUCUUCCCCCACCAACCUCUCUCAAGAGCAAGGACACAUACAAAUGUCAUGAAUGCCACAAGUCCACCUGCUGGAAGUGGUGGAACUAACCCAGGAAGUAAUGGAAACAGUAUCACCACACCUGGAAACUCUGUACCCCCUCCUCUUCCACGGUCAAACAGCCUUCCACACUCUGCAGUCUCAAACGCUGGCAGUAAAAGCAGUGUCAUGGAUGGUGCCAUUGCUUCUGGCGUUAGUAAAUUUGCAACCUUAUCGCUACACGAUCGGAAGGAAAGACACCAUGAAAAAGAUCACAAGAGAAACCAUAGCAUGGGACAUAUAUCUAGCAAGAGCAGUGACAAACUGAACCUAGUUACUAAAACCAAAACGGACCCAGCUAAAACUUUGGGAACACCUCUCUGUCCCCGAAUGGAAGAUGUUCCCAUGUUAGAGCCCCUUAUCUGUAAAAAGAUAGCACAUGAAAGACUGACUGUGUUAAUUUUUCUUGAAGACUGUAUAGUCACUGCUUGUCAGGAGGGAUUUAUUUGCACAUGGGCAAGGCCUGGUAAAGUGGUAAGUUUUAAUCCUUAAUGCUGCAUCAAAGAACUAGAACUCUGAAUAGGUAGUUUUCUUGAAAUAUAAAUGAAUGUUGAAUAUAAAAUUUCUUUAUGCUUAAUGUAAAAAAAAAAAAUCCUCAGAGCCAUACUUUUGGAUACUGCAUGCCAUAUUUCUGAAUGAUUUGAAGUGUCUUGGAUACAGUUAUUGAGUAUAGUUGCCUUCCAGCAGAAGAAAUAAAUACUGUGCAUCUAAUCUAUUGAUCAGUGUUCUUAUACUUAAGCAUAACCACAAUAUGGUGAAAGCUAUUUAUGUAAAAAUUGAAGUAAAACCUGUCAAUCACUAAAAUAAUUAUAAUCCUUCUAAUGUUUUCUACAACGUACAGUGCUCCAGCGAGGGGAGCUUAUGAAAAGCUGCUGCUUUUAAGUCUAAUGAGAAAUGUGAGCCUCUGAAAAAAUUAAAACCAAAGUGUUCUAUUCCUCCAUACUUUUCUGUGGUGGCCUGCCAUUAAUGUAAAACCACUUCUUAUUAAAACAUCAGCCGUUUUAUGCACAGAUUUGUGAGCCCUUUACUGACUGUAGUUUGUGCUCUUGAAAUUGUGAAUCGCUGUUAUCAAGGAACUCUAAUUUUAGCCAGGUCUUGACUUACGUAUUUGUUAAGUUAGGGCAAAUCAUGCUGGCUUUCUCCAGGUAGUUUCAGUGUUGCAUUGCUGUCCAUUUGGUUAGGCGAUUUGAUCAUCGACGAGCUCGUGAUUUUUGAUGGCACCUGAUCUAUCAGUUGAACCUUCAUUGAUAUAUAGCACUAGUUUUAACUUGUUAACGCACUUGAACACAGAUUAAACUUUAUUUUUCUUCUGUCUGAUGUAUAGCGAGCUAAAUGCUGAAUGAAGCUAAAUGUGCUGAUUAUUUUAUUAAAAAGUACUUUUGCUAAAAUAGCUUUGUUUGUCAGCAACAUUUUAAAGGAAUACAGCUAUGAAAAUGCUUCCAGAGUUGAUCUAGCAGAAAGGACCAUUAUUUUUGUGAAAAUUCCUGAAAGAGCAUGUAGGUUAUCACCUGAAGAAAAAUAAUUUGGCAAUACCUGAACAUUGCCAUGUUGGGUGGCCUAAGCAAAAAUCCGAUGUUCAUCAGGCUUUAACCAGCUAGUUCGUAAACCUGAAUUUUGAAGUAUAUAUUCAUGUUCCACAUCUUCAUCGCUAUAAACUUUUCAGUAAACCUCACUAAUUUUUCUUAAAACUGUUUGCAUAAUGUAAGUUUCUUUGAGAUGUCAUCCAGUUUGUCCCAGCAUAGGUAUGCGCAGAGAGCUACGUCUGCUCUGCCUCUUAGUGCAUAUUUAAAGGUUGAAUCUAAAACUAAAAAUCAUAAACUCUUUUUCUGGCGAGAAGGGAGGAAGGUUGUUAGCUGAAAGUAGUUUUUGCCCAAGAGCUACAGAUCCAGCAUCAAUUAAAAAGAACACCUCCCGGAAACGCUAAACCACUUAAAAUGUUUGUCCUACAUGAAAAUACUAAAGCAGUUGUCACUUCUGUGACUCGGUGCAAUUCACGUCUUGUGAAUUAACUUUAUACACGUACAGCGGUGCCUCAGAUUUCUAUUGUGACCUAUAUUUUCUUUUUGUUCUAAAACUCCUUUGCAUACUACUAAACACUACACUGUUCCAUUUCUUUUGAGUGGCUGAGGUGGGUUUUGUUAGAUUUGGUGUAACUUAAAAUAUAUUUGUGUAUUGACUUUUGAUUUGGAAUAUGACAUUUCAAAUAUUUCAGAGAUAAAGUAUGCAGUACCAAAAAUCAGGAUUUAUGUAUUGGCCAAUAUGGAAAACUUUAAUUACAGGACUAGAGUAAUAUGAAAUAGAAUACUUAUCAAACGUGUCUAAACUCAGAUUCACUAAAACAAGACCAUGGAGGUAUCUAGAUUCUCUCUGCCUGUAUGUCAAAUAGGAGCUAGGGCGGAGCAUUGUCAUUCCUUCUAGGACUCUACAGGAGCUCUUUCCUCUGUGGACUCUGGCGCAGGGUAUGUUCUUUGUUCCAGCUUUAUAUCUUGACAUGAACUUAUGAAUGCUGAAUUCACAGCCCUGAGGAUAUGGCAUUCAAGCAUUUUCUGUCUAGAAAAACUGUGGCUGGUCUAGAACUAAACUUCUCAUCUGAACCAGAACUAAACUAGUCUAAAACUUUGGCUGCAAAAUGUCUUGGAACCAGUUUAUGUUAAGACUUAAAAUGUUGCCCUUCCAUCCAAGUGGACUAGGGAUUGUGUCACCCUCACGGCAGUGGAUCUCUGUUAACCCAGGAAGAAGCCAAGCAAAUGAUAUUUACUCAAGUGCUUCAGAGGCACUUCUGAGGAACUUUGGUGCAAACGCUAGGUACUUGGGGCCCAUUCUGGCUGAUACGACUCUCUCUUGGGUGAAAAUAUUCUGUAGACUAAGGCUGACGAAAUGAUCUGAUGUGAACUUGAGAACUUUAUGGUACUUCAGAAGAUACUGACUGACCACCAUGGUGGUCCAUAUAUAUACACCAUACGUGUGUAUCUAAGAGCAGGUGCCAGUGGAGGAGCAAAAUGAAAUCCAUUCUGAAAGCUUCUGAGAACAGCCAGUUACAUCAAAUCAUGCAAGAACUGUUUGGUCAAACUACUUCCUCAACAGUUCGUGUGAGCAUGAAACAAAUCUAACUUCCACAAGCUCUGUGCUCAUAGAAGAUACUUUGGCAGAAGAGGUCUCGGAACGCGGAAGUGUCGUCUUGCUUGUCUCUAUUUAAUAGCAUUGCACAAACUUCUCAAGAAAGUAACUUGUGUGAUCACAUGAUUUUCUGGUAUUUGAAGUUGGAUGUUAGGUAGGUGCUGAUCCACCUUGUUGAAAUCAUUUAGCUCACUUCUGCCAAGAUCAGGCUUAUUUUACAACUAACCCAGGUGGGGUUGCCUUAAGUCAUACACUUUUCCCUGAGGCUUUCCAUGGUUUACCUCAAUUUUAUGAUUUUUCUAAUAUGAAAAUUUUAAACCUUACAGACUUUUGUUGUUUGAGGGAGAUGGAGAAACAGCUUUUCCUAAGCAUGCGAGCCCUUACUGUGUAAAGGAAGCUAACGGCUCAAGCCAAAUCAGCUUUCUGCUAGCAAAGGACUUUUGUGCUUUUCCCAGCACACAAGUGGUUGCGUCUUAAUUUCUGUUUCUCUUGAAACAGGCACAUAUCUUCCAUUUGCCAAUCAUGUACCUGUCUUGAAGUAAAUUUGCCUAAUGCCACUGGGUGUAUUUUUAGUUAGCCUUAGUUGGUUGGUUUUCUAGCGGCCUUGACUUUUCUUUUUCUUGCCAAUGAGUAAAAUGGUGACACAGCUCUGUUAGUAGAAACAAUCUGAUGCACACAGAGGAGGAUCUGCAAGUGAAACCUCCCUGAUGCCACUACUUGCUUUUACAAGACCUGCUGUCAGGUGGUUUAAGCACUUAGACUUUUCUGUAGCGCUACUGGAACAAAAGGGGAAAAAAGUAAGCAGAAGACAAGUAAUAUAUUUGAAACUCUGUUUAGUGAACAUACAGACUAUAUAAAGACAGGUAUUGGCAUUGCUGUAUCCCCCUAAAUCCCACACAAAGUAUUUUGCUGUAGUAUGUUACCUGAGUGCUCAGUAGGCACCGUCUUGAACAUUCUCAGUUCAUUAAUUUUAUGACUCCAUCCAAGAUGCGUAUCUGCUCUAGGGGGUCUGUGCAGUUCAGAAUCUUAUGCUAAUAAGUGCUGAUUCAUUUGGAUAAGAAACAGUUGGAGAUUGUUCCUGCAAGUCUUAAAAUGAAUUUAUCUGAUUUGACUGCAGAAUUUACAAAUGGGAAAUCUCUUUCUGUUUUGGCACUUUUUUGGCUCAGAUACAGGAUCGGGCUGUGGGCUCUUCUGUCAAGCAAAGGUCUUGGUCCCAAUGGGUUCUUCAGAUUACUCCAGUUACACAGUUCUGGGCAAGAAUAAACUACCCAUCGACUGGUCUUCAAAUAAUAAAUUCCCAUUAUUUCAUAUACUGGCAGUAGCAGAAAUGGUUUAACAAAUUAAUGCCACUUUUAUAUGGGCUUUCAUCAAUUCAUCCAUUUUAAACAUUGGUUUAAUUGCAUGAAGGAGGUGUCCUGUGAGACCUUUUGGGCUCUGCAUGUGCUCAAAGGCUGUUUCUUUCACACUGCUUGUCACACUGGACCCUUUGCUUUGGGUGUUUCCCCCCUGCUCACACUUUUCCAUUUCAAACCAGAAGGUAGGAGUGGUGCCGAGCUGGGACACCGGCGAGCUGCUGAGCUGUUACGGAAGGAUCGUGCUCCCGGCCGGGGUGAAGGCCAGGCAGGUGCCAGGAGCCUUGUGACGUAGCGCAUAGGAAUUAACUUUACACUGACCUGCUCCUGCAUCCGAACUUGGACUUUGUAGUAUCACUGAUGGAGAUAAUAUACAAUUGCAUCUGGCUCCAGUUAAUCAUCUUGUAAUUUGCAUGAAGAAAAUAUUAACCCAGUACUUACUGAUGGCUUUUUUUUUUUCCUACUUAGUUGUAUCUUCCUGGUUUCUUUUUUUGUUUUAAAUACAGCAAUUACGUGUUGAUCUUUCAUGGAAUUGCUUUCUCCUGUGAAACCUUGUGUUUCAUGUCUCUGGGAAAAAAAUCCCCCAAGUUAUGGCUGGAACACGUGGAAUUUUUUUCUGACCAGAGCACAGCUAUGAGCGCUGCCAACCUUGGGUGGAAAUGACUUUACUGAUUGUAUUUGUGAUGGCGUUUCAUUCCCACCCAUGCAAGCCUGUUUUUACCAACUCUGCCAUGUCCUAUGUGUGUUGGGAAGCUGGGGAAUGCAUCGACACACACAGAGCAGACCCAGCACCCGAUGCUGAAAGAGUCUCUGUUCGCUCCUCUCGCGUUGCUCAUUGACAAGAGAAAAUGGCAGAGCGCAUUCCAGCCGUGGAGCGUUCCAUCACGGUGCAGAUCGUGCAGCAGCUACAUGGGGUCCUGCUCUGAGGUUGUGAUGAAGAUUAUUUUAUCAAAUUCCUGACUUGGGUCUCACCGCUGCUCCGUUUCGCACCCCCUGCUGACAGAAUAACACCGCUAAUAAAAGACUACAUUUAUUUUCAAAACUUUUUUGAAUAGUCUCUUAAUUUAUUUCUGCCAGUUGCCCAGUGUGGGCUGUUUGCUCUUGGGCUGCGAGCUGAUCCCUGUGCUGCACGGCAGAGCUGCAGUUGUUGCAUCUGAGUUCUUUGGUGUUUGUCAGGGCUGUUACCCUGCACAGCUUUGCUCUUGCGCUAAGAAGUUGAUGUGGGUUUUUUUUCUGUCUUUUACCAUCAAGGCUGACUACAUUGGGUGGUUGUUUAAUCACAGAAAGCACUGUGAUCUUAUUUCUUUAUUCUUUCUAUUAUGUUCAAUAACCUUAUUCAUCAUUCCAAGAGAAGGUGAUUACAAAUAUUCUAGUUCCACACCCUUUGUAUAACAGAUCAGACUCUUACCGGGUAACUUUUGUAUCGGAACCCUAACUGGUUUUGAGCCUUCACUUGAUUUUCCAGUAGCUUUCUAAAGCUUCUAAUGUUGCACCAACAUUGUUUUAUCAGUAGCCUUGCUUGUAAGGCUCCAAUACUACGGCAGAAUUCUGUAGAGUCUUUUUUGUUACAUGGCACCCAGUGAGAAGACUCACCGCUUUGGUAAAACUUCUGUGUCUAAAACCAGAUUCUUGUUCUUGCUUUUCUUGUAUGAACAUCUAAGGUCUCAGACAUCUUCUGAAAUUAAGUACUUGGAAGAACUUGCCAAACUUCUGAUCUUGCAUGGGAAUGAAGUUCUGGAACGGCCACUGGAGCCUGGGCAAGUUUUAGGCUGUACUUGCAAAGUUUUGAACUGUCCGUCUGUGGUAGCACAGGGGUCUCAGUUUGGAGAUCCUUUCCCUUCAGUUUUCCUCUGAUCACCUGCUUGGAGUUGCAGAAAUUCAGAGCAAGUUCCUGGUAUUCCCUUACUGAGAGUCAGCUGCUCUGUGCUGCUGCUCUUUAAAGCACGGAGUAUUCACAGCCUGGGAAAUGAGACCAAGACUGAGGGACUCCUUGUUCCUGGUCUUGGAACUAGAAUUCCAGAGUGUCUGGUAGUUCCCAGGGAACAAGGCACCACGCUGCAUUUCAGUUGUGUUGCCUGUUUCUAGAGGAGGAAAAUGAAUGACUCCUUGUUUUGUUUCCUGACAACUGGUUGCAUUACAGUGUGAAGCUGACAGAAGAACAGGGCGUCUUUCCCUUCUGCAUCAUGUGGUUAUGAGCCUGUUGCAAGAGGCUUCAUACUAUGCCAUCCUUAGUACCUCCUAUGUGCUUAUAAAGUGCAUAUUUGCAUAUGAACAGUUUGGAUCACUGAUUUAAAGACUGAAAAUAAUAUCUUUGGAUAUCUUUUUCCAGGGUACUUGAAAGUUGCUUACUGGAUGUAAUCUUCUGGCAAGAAAGGCCUUCCAAUUGCUGCUAGAUUUAAUAGGCUUCUUAAGAACGCUUCGGUAACGAACUCUGGCGUUUCUCAUUCAUCUUCAUCACUUUCAAACAAAACUUCCUUGUAAAAAUGUUCAGCAGUCCUUCAGAAGGUCGUUUGCUCUAAAACUGCCUUUUUGCACCAUCUAUCCCUUAACUAGUAACCAGGAAACUUGGAUAUUUCUUCUCAUUAAAUAUGCAAUAUCUUUGCACAUCCUGAAUGUCAGACAAGUUUAAAGACCAGUCUGCUUCAGUUCUACCUCAGCAGUGUUUGAAUCGGAUGCCACUGCAUAAAAAAGUGAGACUCAAAGCAGUGUUGUAGUUCCUGCAGGUGGGGAAGGUGAGCAAAGUGCCACAGCCCUUAUUGCACACACACACACGUGUAGAAGAUGUGUGCGCAUGUGCACAAGCGUGCACACAGUCUGCUGGAUACAGCACAUGUCUAAGGGCAGAUUAGAUGCUUUGUAAAAGGGAAAUGCACUGGGUUUAGUAGAAACUUCAUUACUUGAACCCAGCCAGUCCAGCUCUCUUCCACCUCUUCUGUAUGUGGUCAGGGUUUUCUUCUAUCACUCAUGACCCCUCAGUUCUUGAAUCCAAGCAAGAAAGAGCUCCUGUAGAGUCUGAAGUUGUGACCUAAUUCUACAUGGUGUGCAUGUUGCUGCCUGAGCUUGUCUAGUUUGAUGGAUCUGAGUCACAGGAUCUUAAUUUUGAGGUAAGAACCUAAGCUGGGAGCUGUUUGGAGGAAUUGCCAAAAGUGCAUUUAUCGUGCCAGCGUAGUAAGGACUCGCACAGUGCUACUUGCUGCUGUGCUUCCAGCUCAGCUGCCAUUGUGCUCCUCAGCCUGCUGGCACUUGGUAUAAUUACAACCUUGCAAGAAGACUAAAUUGUAUUUUGAUACCAAGCUUUUCCUAAAUAAGCCUGAUAUACAAAUACUUCUAUGUGAAUGAUUAAAAAGGGGCUACUAUACAUAAAUCUGAGCUGGAGUCUCUGAUGAUACCUGCCCGUAAGGUGUAGUUGCCUUAACCUGGAGCAGCAGCCUCUUGUAUGGCAAGGGGUUCUGCAAGCCCCGGGAUGACGUCUGAAAUGAAGAUGGUCUCACUUGAUCUAAAUGGGGAUGUAGUUAAACAAGCUGGUAAAAAUGUUUUCCUGAAUGCAAGCUUAAAUUGUAAUGGGAAAUCUUUACUGAAUUCCUGCUCAGUGUUUCCUUCUCUUUUAAAAUUACCAAAAUAAAUAUUUGGUUAGAUAAUCUAUUUUUCUAUUCAAAGCUUGUAAUAUUCAAUAGCAUAAAAGAGCUCAAGCACUUCCCUGUACCAGGUCAGAUGUCAAACGUGUUAGUAGUGGAAUAGGUUUGUUUGUUGCUGCCCUAAUAAAAUGCUGAUCUCUUUUUUGGUGUAUGAUUUUUAAAGCUUCACAGUUCACAAUGACUCAGAAUGCAAGGUAGAUUAUUAAAUUGAAUGCUGGGGUCAGAUUCGUCGUGUGUCAUAAACGCACACGCUUUCUUACCGAAAGCUUUUUUCUGUGCCCGUUGAUACAAUAGUGGCUUAGAUUCUUCUGUAGGAAGGACACUGCUGGUGUCUAAAGUGAGCAAGUGGUGGUAAAAAUAAAUUGUACUCAUUUUAGCUUCAGGCUAAGAACUUUAUAAAAUCAAUGUCAGGUUCUCUUGCUGGAUUAAUGUAAACUGCUUUGUUUGCAGGGUAUAUUGUCAUCCCAAAACCAGGCCAAUUCUCCAAGUGGAACUGUAGUAUAGCCAUCACACUACUGCUAGCGAAUCUCUGAACACAGGACAAGAAGUAAUGACAGUGGAACCAGGAGCUGUUCUUCAGGCAAAGAGCAUCAUAAAUUAUAAUGUGGCAGAGUUUAAACAUGGAGUUAUGUGAAUCACAUAGUCAUUUGCAAAGGAAUAACGUACUGAGUUCUUACAGUUAAUACUGCUAGGCUGCUCGCCCAAGGAGGAAUUUUCAUUGUUAACAAAAAAAAGAAAGCAAAGAAAGCUUCCUUUGGUGCUGCAGGAAAAAAUAGUAACACUUUUGGUUUUUCUUUAUACUUUUCAAGUCCAGUGUAACUUAAUCUCUCUCUAUAAAUAUAUAAAUAAAAUAUAUAUAUAGUGUAAAAUAAAGUAUGUUUCUUAAAUUCAAGUAAGUUCAAUGGUUAAACUAGGACUUCACCAUUGUUUAUUUUGCACUGAUUUUUUUAACCAGAGAUGGCUAGAAGACAGCCUGGAAUGCACUCAUGGAAAAUGAAAGUCAUUACUUUCUGGCUUCAAAAUAUUAUUCAGGAAGAUGGAUGCUGCAAUCGUAGAUUUUUAAAACAAAAUUGUUUUGCACUUAAAUAGAUUAAUGCUAAUAGAGAAUUACUUUAAAAUUGGUGUCCUGACACCAGAAAAACUAUGUUGUGGAGAAAAGAUCCUUUGUAUCUAUUAAACAUUUAUUUUAAUAUUGUUGUUUCCAACUGCAAUCGGCUCUGUAUUAUAUGUAUAAAUAAUGUAAUUGAGUGGUGGGAGAGGGGAGUAAUGGAUCAUUACAAUAGAAAUUCUCAUUCAUUUAAGAAAGUGGUAUUUCUAAUUCAGAAAAUACAUAUUAAACUAUCUUGAAUAUG